UACGUAGGCAGCGAGCGUUGUUCGGAGUUACUGGGCGUAAAGAGUGCGUAGGCGGUUUUCUAAGUUUGGUGUGAAAUCUCCCGGCUUAACUGGGAGGGUGCGCCGAAAACUGGAAGGCUUGAGUAUGGGAGAGGUAAGCGGAAUUCCUGGUGUAGCGGUGAAAUGCGUAGAUAUCAGGAGGAACACCAGUGGCGAAGGCGGCGAUCUGGGAAGAUACUGACGCUGAGGUGCGAAAGCGUGGGGAGCAAACAGG
rnacentral:rRNA from 1 species